CGCCAUGACACUUUAAGCUGCAGCCCGCAUCUGAGAUAUAUUCUUGCCUCAGUCCGCAUCCUAUCCGUCCAGGCCCCAGCCAUCCAGGUGACAUGGAGGAAGAAAGAAUAAGUGUUGGGUUACAGAAAAGUAUGAUGCAGGACUCGGUGACCUUUGAGGAUGUGGCUGUGGACUUUACCCAGCAGGAGUGGGCUUUGCUGGAUCUUGCUCAGAGGAGCCUCUACAGAGAUGUGAUGCUGGAAACCUUCCAGAACCUGGUCUC